rnacentral:rRNA from 1 species
UACGUAGGUGGCUAGCGUUACUCGGAAUUACUAGGUGUAAAGCGCAGGUAGGUGGUUUGGUAAGUUGAAAGUGAAAGCCCCGACUAAAUCGGGGACGUCUUUCAAUACUGCCAGGCUUGAGUGUGGUAGGGGGAACCAGAAUUCCCGGUGUAGCGGUGAAAUGCGUAGAUAUCGGGAGGAAUACCGAUGGCGAAAGCGGGUUCCUGGACCAUUACUGACACUGAGCUGCGAAAGCGUGGGGAGCA